AGACCUGGGGGGGCGAGAAUCGCAGCGCCGUGAGGGCUCCGCGCAAAUCCAUCUUACUCUCAAUAGCUAAGUGACAUGAAAGCCAUAAAAGAAAAAGUGGUCAGCAAUAUUUAGCAGCACGACUUGGCCCCGGGCGCAGAGAGCGCGCUAUAAAAAGCCGCUGGAAUUUACUGGCAGCUACAAAUAUUUGCUUAACUUGCGUCUGGAGUUGGGGGGUUUUCCAGGGAGAGAGGAGGAGAGUGAGAGGUCCGGAAACUGGGUCUCGGGAGCUGGAGUCCAAAAGGAGAAAAGCCUGAUGGGGACUGACAUUUGCCAAAAGAACCAUGAGGCGGGGUGACAUCCCAUCCAGGCCCUUCUUGGACCUUCCAGCACCCAAGAGAGAAGGUCACCAGACCCUCCUGCCUUGGACUUUCUGAGGUGCUGUUAUUCAGAGCAACUAUCAAAUUCUACCUGUUAAAACAUGAUGGAUUAGAGGGGGGGGAAACCCACCAGGAACCUGAAAAACCAGCGUUCAUCUCCAUGACCACGGCUUGAACUCUUCUUCCAACUUAACGAUAAUAGGUUCUGUCUUAGAAACUGCUAUGUAAUUUGAUGUAUGGGGGUCAUUUGGCUCCGGACGAGGGAUGGAAGCACAAGCCAUAAAAUCCUGCCAGAGUUCCCU